AUUAAAUGACAUGAAAUAUGUAUUUUUAGCAUUUAAUCAUCGGUUUUGGUGUCAUUUGUAGGAUUUUAAGUGUAUGACUUCGCGGUAGAUUAAUCUCGCUAUCAGGUGUGUGAAAAUAAUAUUAAAAUUUGAUAGAAACUUGUUAAAUCGUGAAAUAGAGGCUAUUUUUCGAAACUGCCUAGUGCCACACGGCCCUGGGUCAGGCCGUGUGGUAGAUUGUGUGCGUCACACGACCAUGUACUUUUAUUUUUUUAAAUUAAAUCCUUAUUAUUUUUCUCUUUCGAUAACUGUCAAACAAACUUCUUUUUGGUGGUACGUUUCUUUCCUUUCCUUCAAUUUUGUUUUAAAUUUUUUUAUUUCUUUUCUUCUUUCUUUCCUUCUUUUUCACCUUGCCAACGCCGAAUCCUUUUGUUAUUGUGCCAAUUGUAAAAUCUUUCUUUUGUUGCGUAAGAACACUGUUGAGGCUUGUUAUGAUUCUAUUGUUUGCUUCAUUCUUUCUUUUCCUCGUGGUGGCUUGGUUGUGUUGGUAAGUUGUGUGGAAGAUUAGUUUUUUAUAAAGUUGGGGUUUUGUUGUUUUAAGUAGAAAAUUCCAUAUAUUAAUGAUUUUAUGAUAGAUAUAGUGUUUUGGCUAGUUGUUGUGGAUAUGAGAAGAGCGCGUGGUGAUAGACAACCUUCCGACAAAUUAAGGUUUUGGAGUAGUUGCUGCAAGUUUGUGGUAACUAAUAGUUGAUGAAUAUAGGGACUAUUUAUUUGGGAAAAGUGCGAAUGUAAGUGGUAAUGUUCGUGUUAAAUCAGAGUUGUAAUCAUUAGUUUUGGUGUCGUUUGUAAGAUUUUAAGUGUACGACUACGUGGUGGAUUAAUCUCGCUAUCAGGUGUGUGAAAACAAUCCUAAAACUCUGUAGAAACUCAUUAAAUCGUGAAACAUGGUCUGUUUUUCAAAACCGCCUAGUGCCACACGGUCGUGUGUCAGGCCGUGUUGUAGAUUGUGUGCACCACACGACCGUCUAAUUUUAUUUUUAAAAAUCAAAUACCUGUUAUUUUUCUCUUUCAGCAACCGUUAAACCAACUUCUCUUUGGUUGCACAUUUCUUUCCCUUCUUUCAAUUUUGUUUUACAUUUUUUUCUUUCUUUUCUUCUUUCUUUCCUUCUUUAAACCUUGCCAACACCGACUCCUUCUUUUGUUAUUGUGCCAAUUGCAAAAUCUUUCUUUUGUUGUGUGAGAACACUGUUGAGGCUUGUUAUGAUUCUAUUGUUCACUUGUUUCUUUCUUUUCCUCGUGGUGGCUUGGUUGUGUUGGUAAGUUGUUGGAAGAUUAGUUCUUUAUAAGGUUGGAGUUUUGUUGUUUUAAGCAAAAAAAUACGUAGAUUAAUGAUUUUAUGAUAGAUAUAGUGUUGUGGCUGGUUUUUGUGGAUAAGAGAAGAGCGCAUGGUGAUAGACAACUCUCCGACAAUUUAAGGUUUUGGAGUAGUUGCUGCAAGUUUGUGGUAACUACUUGUUUAUGAAUAUAAGGACUAUUUCUUUGAGAAAAGAGCGAAUUUAAAUGGUAAUGUUCAUGUUAAAUCGAAGUUUUAAUCGUUGGCUUUGGUGUUGUUUGUAGGAUUUUACGUGUAAAACUACGUGCUGGAUUAAUGUCGCUAUCAGGUGUGUGAAAACGAUCCUAAAACUCGAUAGAAACUUAUUAAAUCGUGAAACAGGGGCUAUUUUUUGAAACUGCCCAGUGCCACACGGCUGUGUGUCAGGCCGUAUGGUAGAUUGUGUGUGUGACACGUCCGUGUAAUUUUAUUUUUUUAAAUCAAAUCCCUGUUAUUUUUCUCUUUCGGCAACCAUCAAACCAACUUCUCUUUGGUUGCACGUUUCUUUCCCUUCUUCCAAUUUUGUUUUACAUUUUUUUCUUUCUUUUCUUCUUUCUUUCCUUCUUAUACGCCUUGCCAACGCUGACUCCUUCUUUUGUUAUUGUGCCAAUUGUAAAAUCUUUCUUUUGUUGCGUAAGAACACUGUUGAGGCUUCUUAUUAUUCUAUUGUUCGCUUGUUUCUUUCUUUUCCUCGUGGUGGCUUUGUUGUGUUGGUAAGUUGUGUGAAAGAUAAGUUCUUAAUAAGGUUGGGGUUUUGUUGUUUUAACAAAAAAAAUCCGUAGAUUAAUGAUUUUAUGAUUUAUAUAGUGUUGUGGCUGGUUGUUGUGGAUAGGAGAAGAGCGCGUGGUGGUGGACAACCUUCCGACAAAUUAAGGUUUUGGAGUAGUUGCUGCAAGUUUGUGGUAACUACUUGUUUAUGAAUAUAGUGACUGUUUCUUUGAGAAAAGAGUAAAUUUAAGUGGUAAUGUUCGUGUUAAAUCGAAGUUGUAAUUAUUGGUUUUGGUGCCGUUUGUAGGAUUUUAAGUGUAUGACUACGAGGUGGAUUAAUGUCGCUAUCAGGUGUGUGAAAACGAUUCUAAAACCCUAUAGAAACUCGUUAAAUCGUGAAACAGGGGCUAUUUUUCGAAACUACCUAGUGCCAUACAGCCGUAUGGUAGGCCGUGUGCCAGAUCGUGUGGGGUACACGGCCGUGUGAAACUCCGCAGACCAUUUGGGCAGACCGUGUGGACCACACGGGCUAGGAUUUUGGGCCGUAUAGGCCUUUU
rnacentral:lncRNA from 1 species